CUAUAAAGAUAUACUAAGAGAACUCAAACAUAUACUAAGCAAGAAUCAUGAAUUAGUUUAUAAUCUAUAAAGAUAUUUGUGCAGUACAAGCCUGACAGGGACUUUUUACCUCGUCUGCUAACUUCUGAAGGCUCCUCGGGAACUUCGCUAAAUGCAUUUGACGGGCUGAAAGUUCCACUCUUCCCGAAAAAUCUGUCCUAUAGAGAGCAGUAGCACUGUCUAUUAUCAUUAGAGCAAACAUGUGUAUAAACCAUCAAAACGUAAGCCUCAAAAACAAUUUUGAUAUCGAAAGCACAUCACCAAAUCGAGAUCAAACAUCACUAGUAAAGGAAAAAUCUUAUAAAUACAACUCAAGGCCUAAAAAAAAGUGAGAAGAGAAAAAAAACUUAGCCAGUUAUACUGGUAAUAAUGCUAGUCUGUGAUGAAGUAAGAUGAUACUAAUUAUCCUAGUCUCUGACAUUACUAACAUACUAAAAUGUCCAACCAAUUGGUUCCUUAAGUAGACAAUUCAUUGGUCUCUUGAAUCAUCAUCUUUAGCAAUGAUGAAAUUAAUGAAAAAUCAUACUAACAUACUAAAAUGACACCAACAUAUAGGUAGUAUCCAAAUUAAUCACAAAAAUCAAUACUCAAAAAUAAAAAACGUGAGAAGAAUGAUUAAGUAAUUACAGUGUAUUGGCAAAAUGGAUGUCAGCUUCAAGAGUUUUGAGAGAAUCUUUGUAAGACUUGCGCAUGAUCUCUACUUUUCCUUUUUCUUCUAAUUCUUUCUUCUUUCNNNNN
rnacentral:lncRNA from 1 species